rnacentral:rRNA from 1 species
AUGAACGCUGGCGGCGAGCCUAAUACAUGCAAGUCGAGCGAACAGACGAGGAGCUUGCUCCUCUGACGUUAGCGGCGGACGGGUGAGUAACACGUGGAUAACCUACCUAUAAGACUGGGAUAACUUCGGGAAACCGGAGCUAAUACCGGAUAAUAUAUUGAACCGCAUGGUUCAAUAGUGAAAGACGGUUUUGCUGUCACUUAUAGAUGGAUCCGCGCCGCAUUAGCUAGUUGGUAAGGUAACGGCUUACCAAGGCAACGAUGCGUAGCCGACCUGAGAGGGUGAUCGGCCACACUGGAACUGAGACACGGUCCAGACUCCUACGGGAGGCAGCAGUAGGGAAUCUUCCGCAAUGGGCGAAAGCCUGACGGAGCAACGCCGCGUGAGUGAUGAAGGUCUUCGGAUCGUAAAACUCUGUUAUUAGGGAAGAACAAAUGUGUAAGUAACUAUGCACGUCUUGACGGUACCUAAUCAGAAAGCCACGGCUAACUACGUG